ACAGCUCAGUGGUAGAGCAUGUGCCUUGUAAGCAAAAGGUCCCAGGUUCAAAAGGUCCCAAUGGCAUCUCCA